rfam:Burkholderia sp. OLGA172 chromosome 1, complete sequence.
UUCUAUGGGCGGGCCGUGGGGGGAGAGCCGCAAGGCUCGCCGGUUCUGAUUCUCUACCCGGUCUGCUAAUCCGCCUACGUGCCCGCUCACCCCA